ACGGAAGGCGGCAGCUAAGAAUAUUCCGCAAUGGACGAAAGUCUGACGGAGCGACGCCGCGUGGAUGAUGAAGGCCGAAAGGUUGUAAAAUCCUUUUGGACUGGAAGAAUAAGCAGUGCAGGUAAUGGUGUUGUGGUGACGGUACAGUUUGAAUAAGCAACGGCUAAUUACGUGCCAGCAGCCGCGGUAACACGUAAGUUGCGAGCGUUGUUCGGAAUUAUUGGGCGUAAAGGGCAUGUAGGCGGUUAUCUAAGCUUGGUGUGAAAGGCAGGGGCUCAACUCCUGGACUGCAUUGAGAACUGGAUGACUAGAGUUACUGAAGUGGAAUCAGAAUUCCAGGUGUAGGGGUGAAAUCUGUAGAUAUCUGGAAGAAUACCAAUGGCGAAGGCAGGUUUCAGGCAGAUAACUGACGCUGAGGUGCGAAGGUGCGGGGAGCAAACAGGAUUAGAUACCCUGGUA
rnacentral:rRNA from 1 species